rnacentral:rRNA from 1 species
GUGGGGAAUAUUGCACAAUGGGCGAAAGCCUGAUGCAGCAACGCCGCGUGAAGGAUGAAGGCCUUUGGGUCGUAAACUUCUGUCCUUGGGGAAGAAAAAAAUGACGGUACCCCUGGAGGAAGUCCCGGCUAACUACGUGCCAGCAGCCGCGGUAAUACGUAGGGGGCGAGCGUUAUCCGGAAUUAUUGGGCGUAAAGAGUACGUAGGUGGUUUUUUAAGCGCAGGGUUUAAGGCGAUGGCUCAACUGUCGUUCGCCCUGUGAACUGGAAGACUUGAGUACAGGAGAGGAAAGCGGAAUUCCUAGUGUAGCGGUGAAAUGCAUAGAUAUUAGGAGGAACACCAGUGGCGAAGGCGGCUUUCUGGACUGUAACUGACACUGAGGUGCGAAAGCGUGGGGAGCAAACAGGAUUAGAUACCCGAGUAGUCC